AUUCAAUAGCGUGUCGGCGUCGGCGAUCGGCGUACGCGCGACGGAAAACGGAACGGCGACGCUUCGGCGUCCGCGACGGUUCUCGUUUAUCGCGCCGUAGGCCGGUCGAUCCGGCGCCGAUCGCGUGCAUUUUUCUUCUGGUAGGACGUCGCGAUCCGUCGAGUCGUCGAUCUAAGACCGUUGCGGCAGAGACCGUCCGCGCGACGAGGCGGGGACGUUCGCGUUCCCGUUCUCGCUCGUCGCGGCGGAUCCGUCGGUUCCGGUCGACUCGCUCGACGGUAUAAGAAAGGUUUCGGGUCGCCCCGAUUUAUCGGCGGCGUCGGAGUCGCGGCAAGGGCGUCGUUCGCGUAUGGACGUCGGCUCGGCGUUCGCGCGCCGAGUGCGGACGUCUCCCGCGGAUCGGGUCUUCGAAUUCGAUCCCGGGCCGUCGGCGCUUUGUUGGCCGCGAAAUUAGAUCUCCGACCGACCCGCGUGCCGUAACCGAUMUGCGACGCUUUAGCUUUAGGUAAUUUCAGGACCCGUCUUGAAACACGGACCAAGGAGUCUAGCAUGUGCGCGAGUCAUUGGGUGUGUGUGUCUCCGACCAAACCUAAAGGCGCAAUGAAAGUGAAACUCGAACGCGCGCGCGUUCGCGCGCGCGCGCGUACGGGAAAGGGAAGACGGACGCCGAGCGCGUCCCGCAUUCCCGGGGCGUUUCGUUCUCCUAAUCGAGACGAGGCGCACCAUGAGCGUACACGCUGGGACCCGAAAGAUGGUGAACUAUGCCUGGUCAGGACGAAGUCAGGGGAAACCCUGAUGGAGGUCCGUAGCGAUUCUGACGUGCAAA
rnacentral:rRNA from 1 species